AGAGUUUGAUCCUGGCUCAGAUUGAACGCUGGCGGCAGGCCUAACACAUGCAAGUCGAACGGUAACAGGAAGCAGCUUGCUGCUUCGCUGACGAGUGGCGGACGGGUGAGUAAUGUCUGGGAAACUGCCUGAUGGAGGGGGAUAACUACUGGAAACGGUAGCUAAUACCGCAUAACGUCGCAAGACCAAAGAGGGGGACCUUCGGGCCUCUUGCCAUCGGAUGUGCCCAGAUGGGAUUAGCUAGUAGGUGGGGUAACGGCUCACCUAGGCGACGAUCCCUAGCUGGUCUGAGAGGAUGACCAGCCACACUGGAACUGAGACACGGUCCAGACUCCUACGGGAGGCAGCAGUGGGGAAUAUU
rnacentral:rRNA from 2 species